rnacentral:rRNA from 1 species
GACGAGCCGAGCGAACGUUGUUCGGAAUCACUGGGCUUAAAGGGCGCGUAGGCGGGCCGCCAAGUUCGAGGUGAAAUCCUCCGGCUCAACCGGAGAACUGCCUCGAAUACUGGAGGCCUCGAGGCGGGUAGGGGCACGCGGAACUGUGGGUGGAGCGGUGAAAUGCGUUGAUAUCCACAGGAACUCCGGUGGCGAAGGCGGCGUGCUGGACCCGAUCUGACGCUGAGGCGCGAAAGCCAGGGGAGCAAACGGG